CCUGGCCAAAUCAAUGAAACAAUGCGUGCACGCUCCCUGAAGUAAUUCACACCAGACACAGGUUCCAGGUUGUUGAAUAACUUGAGGAAAGUUUAUUCAGAGGGGACGGCAGGUCCCUUUUAAAGCAAAAUUACAUCAUAAGCAUUGUCAGAGAUAACAUGAAAUAAUACAUCAAUAAUUGGUUAAGUGUUAAGUGUCUUAUUCAAAGCACGUCCUACAGGGUGUGCCUUCUUAUGUCAUUACUGUCGUCAUGGAGUUCUCCCCCAGGAUUCCAGCGCCAUCUUGAAAAUUAGAGUGUUUGGUCGAUGGGUGGGGUACUCCUGAGUGACAUCUAGUGGUCAGUUUAGUAAUUUAUUGAAUAAUAUUAAGUAUAACUAAAUGAAGUAAAUAGACAUUUUACUAGCUAAAAAUAUGUCAAUAUUUCAUGUCACCAGGUCCAUGAGGGUCUCCCACGGUUUCCCGGCGCCAUCUUGCUGCACGAGGUAGUUAGUCGGUGUUUAAAGGGGCAGGGGGAGGAAGGGGUUAGAAGCUUCUAGCAGCCAUUUUGAUUAAACAUGUGUGCUUAACUCUAUAGCAUAGUGUGAGAUGAGUAAAUAGACAUUUUCCUUUAACUAGGAAAUAUGUGUAGACCUUAUUUCCACAACAGUCCCCCCUAAAAUGGCUAUUUACCAUAACAACUGCUACUGUCCCUAAUAUAUCCCUAAUGAUAUGCUCCUAAUCUAUCUCAGCAGGCAUCGAACACUUCACUCCGUGGGUAACCCGCAGCGGCUAGUCCACUACAUCUCCACACGUGAGACUCGCCUGCCAAGACAGAUGCUUUCCCUAUACUAUCCCUACAGGAAAGCAGUUGUCUGUUUGAACUGAUGAGCUUGAAGGGGUGUAUGUGGUGUGUCAUCUUCGAGGUCUGUGACGUCCUGAUGUAGGAAAGUAGGGGUCACGUCAACUAUAGUCUUAUCUACCGCUUUCUGUAAGUACUUCUGUUAUGCAAGGGAGUACGCAACAGGUUAGAAAUAAGGAAAUGAUGAUCAUUAUAAGAACAGCUGUCCCUACCUGGAAGAGGGUCCUUUGCCAACCAUUCAUCCAUCCAAACCAUCUGUCCCAAGUGUCGAUGACUCCUGAAUUUUUCUUUAGCUCGUCUGCAAGACUAUCUAGCUUCUCUAUGGCCAUAGUCACCUUACCAUUGGGCCCAGUGUUGUCUGGAAUGUAUGUGCGACAUGUCAUGGUCUCAGGGAGGAUUUUACAUACACCCCCUUUCUCAGCUAAAAUCAUAUCUAGGGCCAUUCUGUUCUGAAAUGUCAUUUGGGUAGUGGCUUGUAAUUACUCUGCCAGGCCCUGUAGGGCAUCCCUAGUAUAGUUGACAAAGCGCUGUUGAUUAUAGUAAAUGUAGUUAAUCCAAUUGACAUUUUUGUUAGAAAUUAUCAUUGGAAUUAGGGAUUCAAAUCCUGCAGCCACUUCAUCUCUUGCUUUGUAUUCUUUAGGCACCCCCCUUGGCACACCUAUGGCAUCAAUAUACACAUGGGGGUCAAAGCUCCCUCUGAUAGGAGCCCCUCGUUUGGUUCUAGAGUGUACAUGUGUAAGGUUUAACGUGUUAUGACUACCAUCUGGAAUAAUGUGGAUAGGCAUUAUGACUUUGGUUAGGGCGCACUCCCCCCACCAUUGCUCAGCUAAUUGGGACCUCAAUUGUCUGUCACCACAUAACCAAUAGAUAUCUCCAAUGGUCUUUGCAUGAUUUAUUAGCAGUGACACAGGUGGGCUAUGGUAGGUUGAGCAAUAUCCAGAUGGGAAUCCGCCCAGAUACACACCAGUAUUCUUAGGUAUAGCAUAACAUGUGUAAUUACCUGGAUACACGGUGACUCCAUCAGGUGGCUUGACAUAUCCAUGAGUGAUUGGGUGAACCCUUUUCCAUGAUUCACAUGUUGAGGAGUUGGUGGUGGAUUGUGCAUAAAGACUCAGAACACAUAAUUCUACUUCAGGAGGUAGGCUUAGAGGUACUGUGCCCAGAUGGGGCCUGGCUCCUCCACAUACAUAACAGUUAGUCUUAUUAUGUGAGUUGGCGUUAUAUCUCAUCCAUUCUAGCCACAAAUUAGUGUCUGAAAACCCAGUCUCUACUGUCAUAGUGUCUUCAAA